UCGGGAGCCCCUUUGGUGAUCGUACUGCAAACCGACUCAGGUGGACGGGGUGAAUAUCCCAAGGCGCGUGAGAGAACCCUGGUUAAGGAACUCUGCAAAUUGACACCGUAACUUCGGGAGAAGGUGUGCCGCUGGCGGUUAGUGACUUCGCGUCACGAAGCUGUCGGUGGUCGCAGUGAAAUGGCGGUUGUGACUGUUUACUAAAAACACAGGACUCUGCGAAGUCGUAAGACGACGUAUAGGGUCUGAUGCCUGCCCGGUGCUGGAAGGUUAAGGGGAUAUGUCAGCGCAAGCGAAGCAUUGAACCGAAGCCCCAGUAAACGGCGGCCGUAACAAUAACGGUCCUAAGGUAGCGAAAUUCCUUGUCGGGUAAGUUCCGACCUGCACGAGGGCAUAACAACAUCCGCACCGUCUCGACCAGGGACUCAGCGAAAUUACAUUGGGGGUGAAGAUGCCCUCUACCCGCGGAAAGACGGAAAGACCCCAUGAACCUUUACUGCAACUUGGCAGUGAUUUUCGGGUUGUUCUGCGUAGGAUAGGUGGGAGGCUUUGAAGCCGGGCUUCCGGGUUCGGCAGAGCCAACGUUGAAAUACCACCCUGAAUAAUCUGGAAAUCUAACCUGCGCCCAUGAUCUGGGCGAGGGACACUGCCUGGUGGGCAGUUUGACUGGGGCGGUCGCCUCCUAAAUUGUAACGGAGGCGUGCGACGGUUCCCUCAGGCUGAUUGGAAACCAGCCGUAGAGCGCAAACGCAUAAGGGAGCUUUACUGCGAGACUGACAAGUCGAACAGUUGCGAAAGCAGGCGUUAGUGAUCCGGUGGUACCACAUGGAAGGGCCAUCGCUCAUCGGAUAAAAGGUACUCUGGGGAUAACAGGCUGAUCGCGCCUGAGAGUUCACAUCGGCGGCGCGGUUUGGCACCUCGAUGUCGGCUCAUCGCAUCCUGGGGCUGGAGCAGGUCCCAAGGGUUUGGCUGUUCGCCAAUUAAAGCGGUACGCGAGCUGGGUUUAAAACGUCGUGAGACAGUUUGGUCCCUAUCUUCCGUGGGCGCAGGACACUUGAGAGGAGCUAUCCAUAGUACGAGAGGACCUGGAUGGACGAACCUCUGGUGCUCCGGUUGUCACGCCAGUGGCAUAGCCGGGUAGCCAUGUUCGGAACAGAUAACCGCUGAAGGCAUAUAAGCGGGAAGCUGGCCUCAAGACUAGGUGUCCCUGACGCAAGUCACUAAAGGCCCCUCGAAGACUACGAGGUUGAUAGGCUCGGUGUGGAAGCGCUGCGAGGCGUGGAGCUAACGAGUACUAAUAGGCCGUGCGACUUGACCUC
rnacentral:rRNA from 1 species